rnacentral:tRNA from 1 species
GGAGGGGUUCCCGAGUGGCCAAAGGGAGCAGACUGUAAAUCUGCCGGCUCCGCCUUCGAUGGUUCGAAUCCGUCCCGUUUAACCC